rnacentral:rRNA from 1 species
GGUCCCGCCUGCCCAGUGAAACUUUCAACGGCCGCGGUACCCUAACCGUGCAAAGGUAGCGCAAUCACCUGUCCCUUAACUGAGGACUAGUAUGAACGGCUAAAUGAGGGCGCGACUGUCUCCUGCGACCAAUCAAUGAAAUUGAUCUUUCAGUACAAAAGCUGAAAUAUACCCAUAAGACGAAAAGACCCUAUGGAACUUUAAACCCCUGUACUACAAAUCUUAACAUUAAACCACCCCUCACUAGUACACACUUUCAGUUGGGGCAACUACGGAGCAAAACAAAAACUCCAUGACCCAGCGUCUAAUACACGCAUACCCAAGGCCCACACGCCACAUCAAACAGCUGACCCAGUCUAACUGAGCAUCGAACCAAGCUACCCUAGGGAUAACAGCGCCAUCUUCCCCCGAGAGUCCAUAUCAACGGGGAGGUUUACGACCUCGAUGUUGGAUCAGGACCCCCCGGCGGUGCAGCCGCUGCCAACGGUUCGUUUGUUCAACGACUAACGUCCU